GAUGAACGCUGGCGGCGUGCCUAAUACAUGCAAGUCGAGCGAACAGACGAGGAGCUUGCUCCUCUGACGUUAGCGGCGGACGGGUGAGUAACACGUGGAUAACCUACCUAUAAGACUGGGAUAACUUCGGGAAACCGGAGCUAAUACCGGAUAAUAUAUUGAACCGCAUGGUUCAAUAGUGAAAGACGGUUUUGCUGUCACUUAUAGAUGGAUCCGCGCCGCAUUAGCUAGUUGGUAAGGUAACGGCUUACCAAGGCGACGAUGCGUAGCCGACCUGAGAGGGUGAUCGGCCACACUGGAACUGAGACACGGUCCAGACUCCUACGGGAGGCAGCAGUAGGGAAUCUUCCGCAAUGGGCGAAAUCCUGACGGAGCAACGCCGCGUGAGUGAUGAAGGUCUUCGGAUCGUAAAACUCUGUUAUUAGGGAAGAACAAAUGUGUAAGUAACUAUGCACGUCUUGACGGUACCUAAUCAGAAAGCCACGGCUAACUACGUG
rnacentral:rRNA from 1 species